rnacentral:piRNA from 1 species
UGCUACUUAGUAAAUAAAUAUAUGGCUCAAUC